GAGGGUGAUCGGCCACACUGGAACUGAGACACGGUCCAGACUCCUACGGGAGGCAGCAGUAGGGAAUCUUCCGCAAUGGGCGAAAGCCUGACGGAGCAACGCCGCGUGAGUGAUGAAGGUCUUCGGAUCGUAAAACUCUGUUAUUAGGGAAGAACAUAUGUGUAAGUAACUGUGCACAUCUUGACGGUACCUAAUCAGAAAGCCACGGCUAACUACGUGCCAGCAGCCGCGGUAAUACGUAGGUGGCAAGCGUUAUCCGGAAUUAUUGGGCGUAAAGCGCGCGUAGGCGGUUUUUUAAGUCUGAUGUGAAAGCCCACGGCUCAACCGUGGAGGGUCAUUGGAAACUGGAAAACUUGAGUGCAGAAGAGGAAAGUGGAAUUCCAUGUGUAGCGGUGAAAUGCGCAGAGAUAUGGAGGAACACCAGUGG
rnacentral:rRNA from 1 species